CAGGCUUUCUUUCCCGUCUAUUAAGCCAGACACGGACCAGACUCUGAAGAAAGAGGGCCUUAUCUCCCAGGAUGGCAGCAGUUUAGAGGCUCUGCUGCGUACUGAUCCCCUGGAGAAACGGGGUGCCCCAGAUCCCCGAGUUGAUGAUGACAGCCUGGGCGAGUUUCCUGUUACCAACAGUCGAGCACGGAAGCGGAUCCUUGAACCCGAUGACUUCCUAGACGACCUUGAUGACGAGGACUAUGAAGAAGAUACUCCAAAGCGUCGGGGAAAGGGGAAAUCCAAGUUUGUGGAAAACGUUACAAGAACCGACCUGGCCUCAGUUACCACUAUGCCCAUUCCCACCUGGCUGAAGAGGAAGGAGAGGACAAAGAAGACUCCCAACCACCCACUCCUGUGUCCCAGAGGUCUGAGGAGCAGAAAUGUAAGCUGAGCUGUCGGGGCAGGCAAUCAGGAGAGGAACCAGCUUGUUUAUAAAAAUCCUCCGUCUAGAGAAUGUAGGGUAACCCAGAGCUCCCUUGACCAUCAUCAGAGUCUUUUUCUUUUUCUGUAGCCAAGAAAGGACCUGAUGGGUUGGCCCUGCCUAACAACUACUGUGACUUCUGCCUGGGAGACUCAAAAAUCAACAAGAAGACAGGGCAGCCUGAGGAGCUGGUGUCCUGUUCUGACUGUGGCCGCUCAGGGCAUCCGUCCUGCCUGCAGUUCACCCCUGUGAUGAUGGCAGCCGUGAAGACCUACCGCUGGCAGUGCA
rnacentral:lncRNA from 1 species